rnacentral:lncRNA from 1 species
CUCUGAUAACUGACUCUUUGCCUGUUUUUCCCGUUUCUUGCUGUAAUUUCUGCUCUUGUUUUAAAUUCAGCAAUACCGGGUGAACCUACCCCACCCCCCACCCUAAACGCCAAUAAAAGCAGAACCCCAGAUUCUCCCCUUCUCUCUCCCUGUCCCCUCCUCCCCUGCCUCUCUCCAAACACACACACACACACACACACACACACACACACACAGCCCCACUGUGUAGCCCCAUGCGUGCGCUGUGCCUUCUGGGAUCUGUGCGUAAUAAAACUUGUCCUUUCAAAGUUUCCCGUGAUUAUUGCUCAGGGAUGUUUUGCAAUCAUAGUAACAACCACAAGGGCCAGUCCAAAAUUGGCUCUGGAAAGAGCAACAGCUGUGAGCCCAGGUGAGUGCCCGAGGCAUUUCUAGCCGACAGCAUUACCAUCCCUAGGCUGAGAUCCACACAAAACCCCUCCCCAUCCAAUCCCACUGACUACCUGAUUGGCCUACCUAUAUCCAGUUAAGGUGACAAUUAGCCCAGCCUAGCUGGCCAGGUGAAUAAAGAGGGGCAGAUAAGACGGACAGGAGAUGGAGCUUGGUAUUCCAGAACCGGUAUGCCUAAUAGGUUGCAAGAAUUUCAGGAAGCAAGAAACAACUCAAACAAGUGGUCCAAACUCAGGACAAUCUACAUGCUCAUCAGGGAAAUCUGCAGAGAUGGAAAGCUUCCAUUUUCUUUGCAAUACACUGAGCAUCGAGGCACCAAAGAUUUACUUCAAAGGAAAAUGGUGCAACAAGUCCUUUUCUGUGAUUACAACGGGAGCAUUAACACACAUUCCUCAGAACCACAUGCAGGGUUUUAUUUCCUUGGAGGUGGUAGUUUCCAGGCCCGGAGACCUGAAUCAAAAGCAUGUUAUAAGGUCAUCCAGCAAGAGACCGAUGGCCAGUGUGAGGCCUGAUAUCCCUACUCAUGCUAGUCAACAUUCUGUGGACACCUGUGAUCCUUCUGGAACCAUUCCAAAGCCUUGGAAUCUCAUCAUGAACAGCUAAAACU